AUUGAACGCUGGCGGCAUGCCUUACACAUGCAAGUCGAACGGUAACAGGUCUUCGGAUGCUGACGAGUGGCGAACGGGUGAGUAAUACAUCGGAACGUGCCUAGUAGUGGGGGAUAACUACUCGAAAGAGUGGCUAAUACCGCAUGAGAUCUACGGAUGAAAGCAGGGGAUCGCAAGACCUUGCGCUACUAGAGCGGCCGAUGGCAGAUUAGGUAGUUGGUGGGUUAAAAGCUUACCAAGCCGACGAUCUGUAGCUGGUCUGAGAGGACGAUCAGCCACACUGGGACUGAGACACGGCCCAGACUCCUACGGGAGGCAGCAGUGGGGAAUUUUGGACAAUGGGCGAAAGCCUGAUCCAGCAAUGCCGCGUGCAGGAUGAAGGCCUUCGGGUUGUAAACUGCUUUUGUACGGAACGAAAAGCCCCGGGUUAAUACCCUGGGGUCAUGACGGUACCGUAAGAAUAAGCACCGGAUAACUACGUGCCAGCCGCCGCAGUAA
rnacentral:rRNA from 1 species